rnacentral:tRNA from 1 species
GUUUCUGUANUUGAAUACAACGGUGGUUUUUC